UUAGAGGGGAUUUCCACAUUCAUCACCAGGUGUGAAAACAACACCUCCACACAGUUGUUUUUAUUCUUGCUGACUCAGUGCAGAAGAGGCGUCACGUCUGUGUAUUGGUGUGUUUAAACCUCAGACACAACAGCAGAGAUCUCAGAGCUGCAGUGAAGGUUUUAGUUGCAGCUCAUCACAAGAUAAUGAAAGAAAAUUUAAGACAAAUUCAUUCAUGGCAGAAGAUCAGUGGAGCAUCACAAACUGCAGAAGAAUUAAACAGAGAGAAAAAUGGCAAAGAAAGAGGAUGAGAGACAAUCUGAUGAACCAGGAGAGAAAAAGAGUCUGGAACGAGUCAGACGGAACAGUAUUAACAGUGGAAGACCAAACUUUUCUGAAGAUUCAGACAGUUUUAUUCUGAGUGACUCUCAGAUGAGACAGGAGCAGCUCCUUUCACAGCACCUGCAGAAUAUACUUUAUAUUCAGUCUCUGAUCAAAUACUGUAUAUUUUACAUUGUUUGUUGUAUUUUAGUGUCAUUCUAUAUUCAGAAUAUUAUAGAUCUAUAUAAUCAACCAAUAUAAACUAAUAUAAACUUCAUUAACAUCAUUGUAAACAAUAUGUAUAUAUUCUUUUUAAGUUAAUAUUAUUUUUGAAAUUUACGAGCAGUCUCUCAGUGUUUUACUGUAUGAUGCUGUACAUAACACAAACAAUAAUUAUUUCUGUACAUGUUUCUAAAACUAUUACAUUUCAUAGAGACAAAAAUAUGUAUAUGUUUGUUAACAAAAUAUGUAUAUUGUAUUAAACAAAUUUUGUAAGUUUACUGCAGAUUUACUGCAGUAAAUCUGAACAACUCCAUACUUAUAAAAAGUAUUUAGUUUG